AUUGAACGCUGGCGGAAUGCUUUACACAUGCAAGUCGAACGGCAGCACGGACUUCGGUCUGGUGGCGAGUGGCGAACGGGUGAGUAAUGUAUCGGAACGUGCCCAGUCGUGGGGGAUAACGUAGUGAGAAUUACGCUAAUACCGCAUACGAUCUAUGGAUGAAAGCGGGGGAUCGCAAGACCUCGCGCGAUUGGAGCGGCCGAUAUCAGAUUAGGUAGUUGGUGGGGUAAAGGCCCACCAAGCCAACGAUCUGUAGCUGGUCUGAGAGGACGACCAGCCACACUGGAACUGAGACACGGUCCAGACUCCUACGGGAGGCAGCAGUGGGGAAUUUUGGACAAUGGGCGAAAGCCUGAUCCAGCCAUUCCGCGUGCAGGAUGAAGGCCCUCGGGUUGUAAACUGCUUUUGUACAGAACGAAAAGGUUUCUACUAAUAGUAGGAGCUCAUGACGGUACUGUAAGAAUAAGCACCGGCUAACUACGUGCCAGCCGCCGCAGUAA
rnacentral:rRNA from 1 species